rnacentral:rRNA from 1 species
AUUGAACGCUGGCGGCAUGCCUUACACAUGCAAGUCGAACGGUAACGGGCCUUCGGUUGCCGACGAGUGGCGAACGGGCGAGUAAUACAUCGGAACGUGCCCGAUCAUGGGGGAUAACGAGGCGAAAGCUUUGCUAAUACCGCAUACGAUCUACGGCUGACAGCGGGGGACCGCAAGGCCUAUCGCGGCCGCACCGGCCGAUGGCAGACUAGGUAGUUGGUGGGAUAAAAGCUUACCAAGCCGACGAUCUGUAGCUGGUCUGAGAGGAUGAUCAGCCACACUGGGACUGAGACACGGCCCAGACUCCUACGGGAGGCAGCAGUGGGGAAUUUUGGACAAUGGGCGCAAGCCUGAUCCAGCCCUGCCGCGUGCAGGAUGAAGGCCUUCGGGUUGUAAACUGCUUUUGUACGGAACGAAAAGCCUUCUUUUAAUACAGGAGGGUCAUGACGGUACCGUAAGAAUAAGCACCGGCUAACUACGUG